rnacentral:rRNA from 1 species
CGCGUAGGCGGUAAUGUAAGUCAGACGUGAAAUCCUUCGGCUCAACUGAAGAACUGCGUCUGAAACUGCAUGACUAGAGUGCAGAAGAGGGAAACGGAAUUCCGGGUGUAGAGGUGAAAUUCGUAGAUAUCUGGAGGAACACCGGUGGCGAAGGCGGUUUCCUGGUCUGACACUGACGCUGAGGCGCGAAAGCGUGGGGAGCAAACAGGAUUAGAUACCCUGGUAGUCCACGCCGUAAACGGUGGGUACUGGGUGUGGGAGGUGUAAUGCCUUCUGUGCCGAAGCUAACGCGUUAAGUACCCCGCCUGGGGAGUACGGCCGCAAGGUUGAA